UGCAGUGGAAUUACUGAGUGGGUCUUCAAUCAUGAAGCGGAGUCCAUAAAAGGGUUCACACCCAAACAAGUAAUGCCUACUACAGAAUGGAUAGCAUUUGGAAUAGACUGCAUAUUGUUCAGUGGAUGCAGCCAUCAGCCGAGGACUUCAACAGCGUUGAAAGUGGCCAGCUGCCAUACUGAUGAGCGUAACUUUGAUGGUGGCACAGAAGACUUUCGUGAAUGGUGGAACACCCUCCCAUCCCCUAUGCAAGCAACAUUGAUGCAUCAAGGACUAAAGCACAGAGCAAGUUAGGCAGCUGGGCUAGCGGUUAUGUAGCGGUCUCUGGUUUGGGAUGUGGGAAAGUGUACAGAUUAAGGUGCAGAAAUUUGUUUAUUGGUGAAGUGAUGUACGACACAUUAACACUCAAGAUGGGCAGUCUAGGCACUUGGCCUUCUCUUCGUCCUUAAGCCGUGUUAUGCAAUGCUAUGAUACGCUAUGCUACGUCCCUAGGGUCACCGUGUUGGAGCCAAAAUUGUUAAUUGGGGCAUGUGGCUGGGUCGAGAAGGUUCAAGGGCAUCAGUUGUGGAAUGAUGCUAAAGUUGUGAUGAUCCAAAACUACCAGAUGUUGGCAUGGAAGAUUUUCGUAAAUGGUGGAACACGCUCCCAUCCCCUAUGCAAGCAACAUUGAUGCAUCAAGGACUAAAGCACAUUAGAGAAAGUUAGGCAGCUGGGCUAGCGGUUACGUAGCGGUCUCUGGUUUGGGAUGUGGCAAAGUGUACAGAUUAAGGUGCAGAAAUUUGUUUAUUGGUGAAGUGAUGUACGACACAUUAACACACUAGAUGGACAGUCCAGGCGCUUGGCCUUCUCUUCGUCCUUAUGCCGUGUUAUGCAAUGCUAUGAUACGCUAUGCUACGUCCCUAGCAAACUGGUUUAUGCUUUUGCAAAUAUUCCUGUUUGGAGCAUCGUCGUUGUGGAGAACUGGUACCGCCACUACUACAAUAUUUGUAUAUCGGGUUAUACAUGGAUUGGUCAAGAAUGUUGAGAUGGUCAAUUAUAUUGCUUCUCAAAUAUUGCAGUUGCUCCAGGCCUAUACCAGGUGACUGGCUGCUGGCAUAAUGACAUCUCCAAGAAGUAAUUGGCUGCUGAAUACUAAAGGAGCUGAUUGUACCUCAUUGUUAUAGCCACAUGCUGAGGUAAGAGGGUGUUGCAGUUUGUGGUGCCAGCAUUACUUCCGUGAAGAAAUGAGCUGCUAGAUUCUGCAAGGCCUGAAUUGCAACUACACUAUUUUAGGGCUCGAGGUCCACGGAAGUGUGUUCCCUGGUGGAAUGCAGACUGUGCUCGGGCUGUCCGCUGUAAGCAUACUGCCUGGAAGACACACCACCGUCGGCAGCCGGCUGACUUCUUUUCUUUCAGAAGACAAGUGUGGUGGCCCGUAGGGCCAUCCGUACGGCUAAACGUGAAUGUUGGGCAUCUAUGUCUCCACCAUUACGUUCGAAACUCCUCUGCCACAGAUCUGGAAGCACAUCUGCAAGAUAGCGGAUAGGCAGCUGUUAUGGUGUUGGAGUGACUGUCUGGAGUCAAGCUUCAUGAGUUUCUUAGUCCCAGCUCAACUGAACUCCUAAUAGGUAGGCGGUUCCAGGGUGACAAGAUAUCAUGCAGCCUUUUCCAAAGUGAUUGAUGUCAAUAUGCAACAAAUGUUUAAAUACUGCAAUAAAAGAUGUAAACA